GACGAACGCUGGCGGCGUGCUUAAUACAUGCAAGUCGAACGAAAAGUUUCUGCUGCUUGCGCUUGAACAACUUACCAGCGGAUGGGUAACUCACACGUAAAGUACCUGUCACAUAGACAGGGACUCCUAUAGGAAACGCUAAUUACUACUAGAUAAUAGUACUGCAUGGUUGAGAUAUAAUUAAUAGUUGGUUAUGCUAACACUUCGAGACUGCUUUGCGGUUCAUUAGGUAGUUGGUGUGGUAAGGGCCCACCAAGGCGACGAUGCAUAGCCGACCUGAGAGGGUGAUCGGCCACACUGGGACUGAGACACGGCCCAGGCUCCUACGGGAGGCAGCAGUAGGGAAUCUUCCGCAAUAGGCGAAAGCCUGACGGAGCAACGCCGCGUGAGUUAAGAAGGAUUUCGGUUCGUAAAGCUCUGUUGUUAGGGAAGAAUGGAUAUGUAGUAACUAUACAUGUAAGAGACGGUACCUAACCAGAAAGCCACGGCUAACUACGUG
rnacentral:rRNA from 1 species